UUCCCCUCAUUUGAUGUCUUUAUUGAUCCUCGCUUGUUGCUAGGGAAUUUCCAAAGUAGCUUCGUCAGUUGUUGUUCAUAUCGAUUCCUUAGGCUAGAUCUCAUAAGAUCAUUGUAUAGGGUCAGUAUACGGGAAUCGAGGAGAUGGGAUAGAUUGUUUUAGAAAUAUGAUUUAUAUGUGUUAAUAAUAUUAGUGGUUUUGCAGGAUCGAGAUAUACAUUAUUAUCACGUGGUUUGAACUAAGAGCUUUCGUACUCUGUGUUCCUUAGGUGAUUGAGUUCACCAGGGAUAUUUGAACUAAGUGUUCACUAGAUGUUUUGAACUAUGUNUGAUUGAGUUCACCAAAGAUAUUUGAACUAAGUGUUCACUAGAUGUUUUGAACUAUGUGUUCGUCAGGGAUAAUUGAACUAAGUGUUCAUUAGGUGUUUUUGAACUAAGUGUUCAUUAGGUGUUUUUGAACUAAGUGUUCAUUAGGUGUUUUUGAACUAGGUGUUCGGUAGGUAUUAUUGAACGGAGUGUGUUCAAUGGGUGUUCUUGAACUAGGUGUUCAUUAAUUAUUUUGAACUGCGUGUUCACCAGAGGUGAUCUAAGAACCAUGGCAACACUAGAAUUUGUGCCAAUUCCUUAGGGCAAUCCUUAGGAAUUAAUGGGAGAAGGGUAAUCGGUUCUUAGGGUAAAUCUUUAUGAAAUAAAGGAAGAUAAUGGGGGUGGGUAAUUGGAUUGAUUGUUUGAUAAUUAAAUAUAAUAAUUAUAUUAUUGUGGGUUGAAAACUCUAUAUGCUCACAAGGCUCCCAAGCCUGACCCUCUCAGUUUUCUAUAUAUUAUAGGUUAUGGCACGAGAGCAUAAGUUGGCUGACAUAACGAGAGAUUUUGGAUAUAGGCCAGNGGGUUGAAAACUCUAUAUGCUCACCAGGCUCCCAAGCCUGACCCUCUCAGUUUUCUAUAUAUUAUAGGUUAUGGCACGAGAGCAUAAGUUGGCUGACAUAACGAGAGAUUUUGGAUUAUAGGCCAGUAGUUAUGAAUAACUGUUGUAAGGUCUAUUUUGUUCUGUUUAUGCUUUUGGUCUGUAUUGAACAUGACAUCCCGAGAUUUUGGUAUAUAAAGAAAAUACAUUUCUUUAAAGAAAUGCUUUGAUAAACUCUUAUCAUAUUUUGUUUUGCGAACACAUUCUGCAACUGUUUUCUUUAAAAGAAUACUCUGAUUUUAAAAACAAAGCAUAAACAAAUUGGUCUUUUCUGGCCGUGAAAAUGGGGAUGUCACAGUUGGUAUCAGAGCAUUAGUUUAAGCGAACUAGGAAUUUGUAGGAAAUUUCUAGACUUAAACUUAGAAUUCUAAGUAUUGAUCGUGAGGAGUGUGUCUAAAAUAUGUUAGGUAGUACUCCUAAAUGGACACAAGCACCGGCUUAUUUUAGGAAUGAUGCCUAAAAUGCUUUUAUGUGCUAAUUGUUUUGUGUGAUAGCUAAAUUGAUGCUAUUAUUUGUUCGGAUCUAUGGUCUGUUACCGACCGGAUCUGGAAACCUUAUGUGUGUAGGAUUCUAAGCGUAUGACUACGAUAUUAGAACUAGCAUCUAAAUGUUUCGGGGUGAUAAGGAGAUUUAUACGUUUAUCGUAAUUAAAGCUUUCUUAUCUUAAAAUUCUCGCGUGGUACACUGAAUGUCUGCUUGGGUGUACAAAGGGUCAUGGUGAAGACUCGUAGAGAAAUUGAGUAAAUAGAGGAAAUGAAAAGGCUUAUGAUAGUGAGUGACACAUAUCGGAAGAUAUCGUAAGAGUGGUAUCUUGCCUUUAGAAUAUGCCUUAUGAAAUAACAGUACGUUUAGGGGAGUACGGUAUGUUUGAAGUACACCUUUGAUUGGUAGGAUGAUGGAGAGAUUGGUGUAAUUCUUUAGGUUGUCUCAUCACCUGGUAUUUCCAUCACCAAUCGAGUUGAAUUAGAAUUGAUGAUUGAAGAUACGCAAUGAGAAACCCUAGUAGAGUCUAGGGAAAUUGCUUAUGAUUAUUUGGACACAUUCGUAUGUGUUAAAUUGUUUUGUGAUUUUAGGACUUGGGGACUGCGAGACAAUACUUGGGACGAGUAUAAGUAGGUGUGAAAGGUAGUAGAUGCAUAUACUACCAGAAGCAUAGGACUCACACUUGGAUCAGUGAAAGUCACAAGGUUACCAAGAAGCUGGUGAUCGAUUUUGUUUAUUCGAGCAUGUCAUUACCCUUGUUUCGGUAAUGAUUAGUGAGAUGGUUGUUAUUCGACCCUAGAGGUCAUAUCAAAUUGAGUCCGACUACGAUGAGUUUGUUACGUGGUUCGGAGAACAAAGUUCGAUGUAGCAUCUGACUGAGGUAAGAAGAUUGAUAUUGAUGCGACCAAUAGUAUCGCGCUCAUUGUUAAAAGAAGUUUCCAGGUAGAAAUGCUACAUGCUGAAAUGUGAUUAUAUCACAUUAGAAUAUGAAGGAAGGUAUAUUCCAUUUUGGAUUUUAACAUUGGAAAAAACCGAGUCUAAGCGUCGCAUCGUGCGAUGAGAGGUCAGUAGAGCACGACCCAUCGGUACGUUGCAAUAUAUAAAGGAAAGUAUUUAUCCUAAGAAGAGGAAGGAGUCCACAAUAAGGAUUUAUUUUGUAACUUGUAAGUUACGAUUUAAAGUCCAAUAUAGUACGAAGAACAAGUGCAAGAUUUAGCAUCGCGGUUAUUACUUAGGAUGGAUAGGUAACAUAUGGAAUCGUUAUACAAGCCCUAUUUCGUUGAUGAUUCCGGGACGUAAUCAUCCUAAAGGGGAGAUAAUUGUAACGCCCGUGGAUCAGGGCUAGUCAAUUUAGAGACGAUAAGCAUCAAAAAUGACUUUUUGAUGGAAGAUUAUUUAGAAGGAUUAAUCUUAACCAAGUUGUAGUAUAUGUCUCAAGGUUUCCGAAAAUAUAAAGAACGCCGAAAUCCGAGUUAUAAUGAAGAAGUUAUGACAUGUCGAAGUUUCGCGACAGAAGCGGCAUGACACAACGCGACGUAAAUAGUGAAUUUACGUUAGAGUGAUAUUUGGCCUUAUUAAUCUAAAUGAAAGUCGUAGAAUACAUUAAACCGAGAGCGUGCAUAAAAAGAACGUCUAAAUCUGACUUCGUAUGAGGAAGUUAUGAUUUUUCGAAGUUUCAGCAUUAGCUGUAUGCAGCCCGAAACUCGAGAUUGAGGUCGAGUGAUAUUUAGCCAAAACUUUCUAAAUGAGAAUUGAAGAUCUCAUCAAUAGUAUUCCAACGAUAAAAAGACAGACAAAAACAGAGUUCAGAUGAAGGAGUUAUGAAUUUCGAACGAAGUUUUCCUGUCCCAGCCUACUAAAAAUAGUAUAUUAUUAAUAUAUUAAACAUAAAUUCAAAAUUAGCCUACAAACUCUAAAUGAAAGUUGUAGAUCUUGUUUUUACCUACGCGUCAAUAUAAAUAAUGUCGAAAACGGAGUUCGUAUGCGAAAGUUAUGAAUUUCUGAACUUCGGGGCACAGAACCCUAAAACUGUUAGAUACCACGACGUGGCAAAAGUGGCCACGACGUGGCAGGGCUUCUGAUGCCUUAUGGAGCCUGACAGAUCAAGUGGACGAUCACGCAUGCAAUGACGUUCAAGCCCACGACGUGGAAAAUGAGAAAACAACCCUAUAAAUAGAUUUGAAGGGGCAGCCGUUUGUGGUUGCCAAAUCUCUCUUCUCUUGCCCAUAUUACAUCAUUUUACGUGCAAUUUUAACCCCCCGAAGCCCCAGUAUCAACUCCGAGACCCGAAGCAAGUCCCGAACCCCGAAGAUCCCGAGAAGAAAAGAGUUUCCGAGCCGAAGCUCUGCCCGCGAGAAGCUCGGUGUGUGAAGAGAUCACAGUUUCACCGAAGGAUACUACUUCUACAAGUCGUAGUGCUGCCCGAUCAUCUUCUUAUCAGGUGAGUGUGUAGUCACUUUCUUCUAACACAUAACUAUUAAGUAGUUGCUAUGAAAUACGUGCUAUGUGUAUAAUAUAUUGUGGUUUAUUUGAGAUGAUUGUGGAAUGGAUGAAUUAUAUAAGUUUUAAUGAGUUAAGCUAUAUAUGUAUUUUGUAUCAAAAAAUAUGUUGGGUAGAACAUGGGUAGAUGAGGUUGUUAGUAGGUGAUAAAAGAUGGGUUGGACCAUGAGAUUAAAGGAUAAAGAGAUAAACUUGUUUUAGAUCUGGAUGUAUGGAUCAGAUCAGGAGGUUAGUUUUAGAUCCGAGAGUAUGGAUCAGAUCAAGAGGUUAGUUUUAGAUCCGAGAGUAUGGAUCAGAUCAAGAGGUUAGUUUUAGAUCUGAGAGUAUGGAUCAGAUCAAGAGGUUAGUUUUAGAUCCGGGAAUAUGGAUUAGGUAAGGAGAUAAAUUUUAGAUCCGGCAGUACGGAUUAUGUAUUUUUGAAUUAUAUGUUCGUUCGAUAAGGUAUCGUGUGUAUAAUCCCUUUUAGGAACGUGAUUUUAAUACGAGUAUUGAUUAAAGUAUGAAAUAUACAUAUGUAUGUGAAGUAUUUGUUAUUGUCCGAAAUACGUGUUAGAUAUAUUUGAUGAUAUACAACGUGCAAAUCGGUUAUGGUUCAAUAUGUGUUAAGAUGUUUGUAUAUGAUAUUAUUACUUAAAACCUUGUGUUAAGUAUACACUAGUUGGCAUUGCCUAAAUGGAGAUAGUAUCAAAAAUUGAUUAUAAGCAUUGUAGGUUUGCCUAGUGAUGGGUUAAGACUUAAAUGGGAUGUUUAGUUCAAUUAAGUUUGGACAUUGGGUAGUCUCUUAUUAAGAGUACGUGUGGGGUGAGAUUGAUGAUUGGUGGAGUAUGUCCUACGUACAGAAUUACAUUUUAUGUACGAAGUCCUUUUCAAAGCUAUGUGUCUUGGGUGCUGCUUGUGCCAGGGUACUAUUAUGUUCUCGGGUACUAGACUUUCGCAUACCAGAGUACUAUAAUGUGCCAGAAGUACUAUCAUGUACAAAGUCUUUUUGACAAUUUUGUGUGUCGGUUACGGGAGCGUACGGGAGUACUAUAGUAGUAUUUACCAAUACUUUUAUUUUGAGAGAGCUUUGGAGUCAGCGUUUCUUUUAUGAAGUGAUCGACCGAGCUUCAUAUGUCAGCAAUUUCUAUCACGAAGUAAUUAAGGGAACUUCGUAGACUGCCUAAUAAAGUGUGUUGGUAAUAGACCACUGCUAGGUAUGUCUGGUGUUAUAUUUCUGGAUAGGGUGCGUCUUAGGGUGAAAUACCUCAUGUAUUCAGGCCAGUGCUAGGCAAAGUUCGAUGCUGGAUAGGGAGAGUGUGGAGGUAUAAUUCCUCAUGAUAGUCGGACCACGCCUAGGCAUUGUUAUCUAGAUAACUACUCCUGACUUAAUUGUAUUGUGGUUCUUUCUUUUACGAACGAAGGUUCGUGGUGAAACUUAUUCCAUUCCCCUCAUUUGAUGUCUUUAUUGAUCCUCGCUUGUUGCUAGGGAAUUUCCGAAGUAGCUUCGUCAGUUGUUGUUCAUAUCGAUUCCUUAGGCUAGAUCUCGUAAGAUCAUUGUAUAGGGUCAGUAUGUGGGGAUCGAUGGGAUGGGAUAGAUUGUUUUAGAAAUAUGAUUUAUAUGUGUUAAUAAUAUUAGUGGUUUUGCAGGAUCGAGAUAUACAUUAUUAUCACGUGGUUUGAACUAAGAGCUUUCGUACUCUGUGUUCCUUAGGUGAUUGAGUUCA
rnacentral:lncRNA from 1 species